UGAGUGUCCAGUGCCUAGAACAGUGCUUUGCUCUUGGUGGUGUCCAAUAAGCUUGUUAGGUUUCAUUGCAUUUAAUUGCAUUGAAUGAACAAUUUGUGCUUCUCCUAAUAGUGUCAUAUAAUACAGUUGGCAAUCUCCCUAAGUCUAAUAGUUGUUUUAUAUGAUAAAUCGCCCAUAUUGUUAGUAUCCAAAAUCCUUUGAUCUUAAAUUUCUUCAGAAUUCUUAAAUGCAUGCCAUCUGGCUUCAGUGACUCAUGGAAAUUUAAUGUCUUGAGUUGUAUUCGCCACCUGUUGUUUCUUUUUUUAUAUUUAUGCUAGUGAAUCAUCUUUGUUUUCAAUGAAAAGUAUUCUUUAGUAAAAAUUCUACAUUUAUCCUGUCAGUGAUGAUCACUGAUUGAGUGAUACAGAGAAACAGUUCAACCUUCUCUGACCCUUAACAUGCUCCUGUCCUCUCCAGUGAUAUGACUGCAUUUUCAGUUCUUUAGGAAAGACCAUACAGGGAUCACUUUCAACCCUCAGACCAUUCUUAUAGAAGAGUAGUUUCUACCCUAUAGAUUUUACCUGAAUUUGAUUGUUAUAGUUUCUCUUGCAUUUCAGCAACGUUUGUAUCUGGUAUUCUAUCCAAUAUUGUUGUUUCUUCCAUAUGUUGUAUUCUUUUCUUAUGGACAUUUAAUGAUUUUAAUACUUUUUAUGGCAAGGUGACUUCAAAUGCCUCCCCACACAUUUCUGUAUACUAGAUCAACUGGAGAAUAGAAGGUGCUGGACAUAGAUACUCUCUCCGAAACUUGUAGCAAGCCACAGAAACCCAACUCAAACUGGAUAAAGGUCUGUGCCGCUCCUAUCACUUUUGGAAUUCUUACUCUCUUCGGUGCUCUUCCCAGAUUCCCAAUGCUAUUGUGUAUGUUGCCCCACAUCUUUGGCUUUCUACAGCUGCAGCUUACCAGCUCUGGGAGGGCUACUUCAUCUAUCUAUUCAUCAAACCAUUCAGUUGCCCAAGGUAACUGAAGCACAUGCCUUGCCUUUGGGACCUUAUAGUCUAGCGAAAGGCUUACAUGCAAAUCAUAAUGUGGUGAGUGCCUGGAUAUAAACAAGCAUUGGGUUGAAUCUAAGCUCUAGAUCAGGGAAGUCAAGGAAACUUUCCCUGAGACAGUGAUGACUAUGAAUUUAAAAAAAAAAAAGAAAAAAGAAAAAAAGGUACAAUUCAGUCAGGUACAAAACCAUUGCAGUUGAAGAAACAGCAUUGCUGGAAACCAUGCAAAGAACCCAGCUAAUAGGGGAAUACAGAUAAUUUUUCAUAUCUUGAUCAUUUAGUGAAUAUGAAAAAUUUGCUAAGAACAGCCUUGUUUUCCAUGUUCUGAUUCAAGUGCUGUGGCUAAAGUUUUUGGUGAUCCUAAAGUCACUAGUUGACACCAAGGGAAAUGAUUUUUCUCAUGAAUAUAUGAGGAAGCUGUAGUCAGAAAAAGCCUGGGAGUAUCUUUCUGCUCAGUAGGAAGAGCAAUUUUGUCUCCAGAGCCAGGCCUACAUAAGAGGAAGCCUAUUAAGGCAACUCCUUGCCUGGAGUGACUUGAGAGGAUUUCUCAGCAAAACAUCUUCCCAGUGGGGUACCUCCUUCCCUUUCUAUCUGGCCACAAAUUCUCUACAGUCAACUCACUAAGUGGUGAGGUCAAUAAAAGUGGAGCGUCCUCUUCUAUAGAAAGUCUU
rnacentral:lncRNA from 12 species